UGGAUACCCUGGUAGUCCACGCCGUAAACGAUGUCUACUUGGAGGUUGGUGUCUUGAACACUGGCUUUCGGAGCUAACGCGUUAAGUAGACCGCCUGGGGAGUACGGUCGCAAGAUUAAAACUCAAAUGAAUUGACGGGGGCCCGCACAAGCGGUGGAGCAUGUGGUUUAAUUCGAUGCAACGCGAAGAACCUUACCUACUCUUGACAUCCACGGAAUCCUGCAGAGAUGCGGGAGUGCCUUCGGGAACCGUGAGACAGGUGCUGCAUGGCUGUCGUCAGCUCGUGUUGUGAAAUGUUGGGUUAAGUCCCGCAACGAGCGCAACCCUUAUCCUUGUUUGCCAGCACUUCGGGUGGGAACUCCAGGGAGACUGCCGGUGAUAAACCGGAGGAAGGUGGGGACGACGUCAAGUCAUCAUGGCCCUUACGAGUAGGGCUACACACAUGCUACAAUGGCAUAUACAGAGGGCAGCAAGACCGCGAGGUGGAGCGAAUCCCACAAAGUAUGUCGUAGUCCGGAUUGGAGUCUGCAACUCGACUCCAUGAAGUCGGAAUCGCUAGUAAUCGUGGAUCAGAAUGCCACGGUGAAUACGUUCCCGGGCCUUGUACACACCGCCCGUCACACCAUGGGAGUGGGCUGCACCAGAAGUAGAUAGCUUAACCUUCGGGAGGGCGU
rnacentral:rRNA from 1 species